UACGUAGGGUCCGAGCGUUGUCCGGAAUUAUUGGGCGUAAAGAGCUCGUAGGCGGUCUGUUGCGUCGGUUGUGAAAACCUGGGGCUCAACUCCAGGCCUGCAAUCGAUACGGGCAGACUAGAGUUCGGUAGGGGAGACUGGAAUUCCAGGUGUAGCGGUGAAAUGCGUAGAUAUCUGGAGGAACACCGGUGGCGAAGGCGGCAUCCUGGACCGGUAUUGACGCUGAUGCGCGAAAGCCAGGGGAGCAAACGGG
rnacentral:rRNA from 1 species